AUUUUUUUUUCUCUGCUCAGGACGAACGCUGGCGGCGUGCCUAAUACAUGCAAGUCGAGCGGACAGAUGGGAGCUUGCUCCCUGAUGUUAGCGGCGGACGGGUGAGUAACACGUGGGUAACCUGCCUGUAAGACUGGGAUAACUCCGGGAAACCGGGGCUAAUACCGGAUGGUUGUUUGAACCGCAUGGUUCAAACAUAAAAGGUGGCUUCGGCUACCACUUACAGAUGGACCCGCGGCGCAUUAGCUAGUUGGUGAGGUAAUGGCUCACCAAGGCAACGAUGCGUAGCCGACCUGAGAGGGUGAUCGGCCACACUGGGACUGAGACACGGCCCAGACUCCUACGGGAGGCAGCAGUAGGGAAUCUUCCGCAAUGGACGAAAGUCUGACGGAGCAACGCCGCGUGAGUGAUGAAGGUUUUCGGAUCGUAAAGCUCUGUUGUUAGGGAAGAACAAGUACCGUUCGAAUAGGGCGGUACCUUGACGGUACCUAACCAGAAAGCCACGGCUAACUACGUGCCAGCAGCCGCGGUAAUACGUAGGUGGCAAGCGUUGUCCGGAAUUAUUGGGCGUAAAGGGCUCGCAGGCGGUUUCUUAAGUCUGAUGUGAAAGCCCCCGGCUCAACCGGGGAGGGUCAUUGGAAACUGGGGAACUUGAGUGCAGAAGAGGAGAGUGGAAUUCCACGUGUAGCGGUGAAAUGCGUAGAGAUGUGGAGGAACACCAGUGGCGAAGGCGACUCUCUGGUCUGUAACUGACGCUGAGAGCGAAAGCGGGAG
rnacentral:rRNA from 1 species